GACAGAGGAGGCAAGCGUUGUUCGGAAUCACUGGGCUUAAAGCGCGUGUAGGCGGCUUGGUCAGUACCUUGUGAAAUGCUCCGGCUCAACCGAGGCACUGCUGGGUAUACUGCCAGGCUCGAGGCAGGUAGGGGCCGCUGGAACUCUAGGUGGAGCGGUGAAAUGCGUAGAUAUCUAGAGGAACGCCCGAGGCGAAAGCGGGCGGCUGGGCCUGUCCUGACGCUGAUACGCGAAAGUGUGGGGAGCAAACGGG
rnacentral:rRNA from 1 species